rnacentral:rRNA from 1 species
AUUGAACGCUGGCGGCAUGCUUUACACAUGCAAGUCGAACGGCAGCGCGUGCUUCGGCCUGGCGGCGAGUGGCGAACGGGUGAGUAAGUCAUGGGAACGUGACCAGUAGUGGGGGAUAGGCCGGCGAAAGGCGGAUUAAUAUCACAUACGAUCUGAGGGUAAGAGCGAUGGCCUUAAAGGCCUCGCGCCAUUGGAAUGGCCGCUGGCGGGUCAGCUGGUGGGUGGGGUAAAGGGUGACCAAGCCGACGAUCCGUAGCUGGUCUCAUAGGACGACCAGCCACACUGGGACUGAGACACGGCCCAGACUCCUACGGGGGGCAGCAGUGGGGAAUUUUGGACAAUGGGGGCAACCCUGAUCCAGCCAUGCCGCGUGCGGGAAGAAGGCCUUCGGGUUGUAAACCGCUUUUGUUCGGGAAGAAAUCCUCUGGGCUAAUACCCCGGGGGGAUGACGGUACCGGAAGAAUAAGCACCGGCUAACUACGUG